GAUGAACGCUGGCGGUGUGCCUAAUACAUGCAAGUCGAGCGAAGCGGGGACGGGUGAGUAACACGUGGAUAACCUCCUAUAAGACUGGGCAAACAUCGGGAAACCGGAGCUAAACCGGAUAGUGAUAGAUUGAUCCGCGCUUCAUUAGCUAGUUGGGAAGGUAACGGCUUACCUAGGCAACGAUGCAUAGCCGACCUGAGAGGGUGAUCGGCCACACGUGAACUGAGACACGGUCCAGACUCCUACGGGAGGCAGCAGUGGGGAAUAUUCCGCAAUGGGCGAAAGCCUGACAGAGCAACGCCGCGUGAGUGAUGAAGGUCUUCGGAUUGUAAAACUCUGUUAUUAGGGAAGCGGUACCUAAUCAGAAAGCCACGGCUAACUACGUGCCAGCAGCCGCGGUAAUAC
rnacentral:rRNA from 1 species